rfam:Emiliania huxleyi CCMP1516 EMIHTscaffold_372_Cont7195, whole genome shotgun sequence.
UAUCGCGGUUACGUCAUACGUGCCCUUCUUUCGCCUUUUACUAAAGAAGGCCGUGGCGCAACUGCCUAACGACCUCUUACACUAUUUUGCUACCUAAAUUUCAGAGAGGAG